GACGAACGCUGACGGUGUGCUUUAGACAUGCAAGUCGAACGCGAAAGCCCUUCGGGUUAGUAGAGUGGCGAACGGGUGAGUAACACGUGGGCAAUCUGCCCCUCGCAGGGGGACAACCGGAGGAAACUCCGGCUAAUACCCCGUACGCUUGUAGGAUCGCAUGAUCUUACAAGGAAAGGUAGCUUCGGCCAUCCGGCGAGGGAUGAGCCCGCGGUGCAUUAGCUAGUUGGUGGGGUAACGCCCACCAAGGCGACGAUGCAUAGCUGGUCUGAGAGGAUGAUCAGCCACACUGGGACUGAGACACGGCCCAGACUCCUACGGGAGGCAGCAGUCGGGAAUCUUGCGCAAUGGGCGAAAGCCUGACGCAGCAACACCGUGUGAGCGACGAAGGCCUGGUCGUAAG
rnacentral:rRNA from 1 species